GCGAGUCGAGUAAAAAAGGCACGAUCUCGAGGCAACAAAAGGAGAAGUGGAAGCACAGGGGGAAAUCGAAUACACAAACCAAAGGUGAAAAGCAAGAUGAAAUGCACUUUUCUCGACUUGAAAACUGAAUUUUCGGUAAGUAAGGCUGCUCUAACCUAUUAGUUUCGCGUUUUACUUUCGUAAUCGAGGAGGUCCCAGCACUAGAAAGAGAAAGAAGAGCGUUUGAUCUACUAAUAGCGGUAGCGGCAUAAGAACAGCAACUAUACUGGCAAUUGCUUCAACCUAAGCAAGACGCAUUAAAGGCUGUUAAAUAUAUAUCUUCUCAGGCACAGUUGCUUUCCUUGAUUUUGAUUCGGGCACAGUGUCUUCGACAAAUCGUUCUCUCAGUCUCAGUCUCAUCUCUGGUCCUGUGGGUUAGUCACCUUAGUCCAGUGUAUCAGAAAGCACAUCUUUCUUUCCGAGUCAUAACAUAAAUAAGGAGUUAGACUCAGCCUUGAUAUAUGAGCAAGGUAAAUUAACCAAAGCGAAUCUCGUUCAACCCCGCUCCUCGGCCUUCUUUAAAGCCUUGUGACUCCCAUCCCAUCAAGUCAGGAACCAAAAACUGAAAGACGCCUAGCCCCGGUUAGGCGGAGAUCAAGGGAUGCGCGUUAGCCCUUUAUUAGUAAUGGAGGCUUUCCUUUUUUCGUCAAAGAAAAGCCCCCCCCAUAAGAAAAGGAGGCGUGGGGGUUUGUUUACCUUGCUUGCCUUAAUUAUUUAUAUAAUAUAGAAGGGUCGAGCGUCUUCAAACCUUAGCACAAGCACUAAGUCAGAAACCUACCUUUUGACAACCUUACUAAUAGAAAGGGGAAAGAUGCGCUCAAUCCGUUGCUUGUUGCUCCAACUUAGGAGUACGGGGCUCGUUGAGCCUUUUCUGCAGGCUGCUAUGCUAGUUGUAGCGCUAGCGCUUUACUAAUAGAAUAUAAAGUAAAUGGGACUUUAUCAUGAUCUUAAGAAUCUACAACUCUCUUUACUGAGCGAGACUCUACCCAGAUCUAAAGAAUUAGCCAAAGAGCCUUCUUCUAACUAGGAGAGUAAGCAAGCUACCGGAAGCGAAGCUUCUGGCUCCCCGAAUUUCCAAUUCCUUCUUUUCGUUCUACUUAGGUGGAGCAAUCCGAACUCUCGACAGAAUAUAAAAGAGCGUCUUCGAACCUGUGUAGACACCUCAACGAACUCAUGUGGACACUCCUCAGCCCGAGCCGAGGACAAUCUCUAAAAAAUACAAAAUAAGAUGUUGACCCCUUUUUAUUUUCUUUGCGGAUUCCUCUCAAUUUAAUUUGCCAUGUUGCACUAAGUUACUUACGUAUGUAUGCAUGCGGUCCGGGAACACUUUGGGGUGAACACCCAUCCGAACAAGUAGGGUCAAUAGUUCAGCAUUUAGGCCGUAACAUUUAGCAACAAAAAAAUCUUUAACCCAACAAGUGCUCUCCGAACCAAGCUAGAUAGUCUCCUAUCACUAGGCUAGCCAACCAACCUGGACUUUGAUUCUGAUUAUUCCUACCGGAUAUCAAAACCAUAAGGAUUGUUUCCAGCCAUGAGUUCCCAUAUUACAUAAGCGCUCUUGGGUGGGCUGGGCCAUUCCAUCAAAUCUUUGAGAAGGGGCCCAAUCUCGUAUUUGAUGGUCGGCGUGGCGAUAGGCUUCGCUUCUGCGACUGCCUCCCCAGCCGUUGCAAAGACUAAGCGAGAACGGUAAGGGGCGCACAAAGAAUGUCGUUGCGCGGGGAUGCGAUUAGUCAAGCUGGGGCAAAGAAAGCCGUCCGGCCCCCUACCGGUUCCAAAUUAGGAAUGUGAAGGCCUUUCCUUCGAAAGGAGACCGGGGAAAGAAAGAGCUAUGCUAUUGACCGACCCUUUCGUAGUGACUUCGAAUCCAUAGUCCUAUCCUUUUUUAUUAUUAUUUUUUGAGGCGGGCCGAAUAGAGAAUGAAAUGCAGAAAUACGGGAAGAGUUCCAAACCUUUUUUUUUGUUUAAGGGCUGCUCGCCCUACCGAAGUACUAAAGGCUUUCGAGGCUGACACCUCCCUAUUACACGACCUAAAAAAAGGUAGCUUGCUGUAGCGCC
rnacentral:sRNA from 1 species